UGCGGAAAAGAGGGGGGAAAACCCUAGCGCCGCCACCUCUCUCCUUUCUCUUUCUUCGUCACUUUGAUGCCUAAAAAUGGCAAUAUGGCAGGUGUACUAUGUUUUUUCAGUGAUUUGCAAAGUCGAGAAGGGGAAACAAUAAAUGUUUCCACCUUCUCUCACCUAACGCCACCACAAACAGGGUGCUAUCUCGCCUUUUUCACCAUUUUUCUUUAUUUUCUGAGUCUCAAACGGGUUUGUGUGUUGACUGAGUUGGGAUCAAGGAAGAAAAGGAUUCUUCCAAGUCCAAUUCUUGACAGAGGUUGCACUAACAAAAGGAAACCUCGUGGGCCACUUUGGCCACUGCCUUUUUCUUGAAACCAACUGGGCCUGAGGCCCAAUUCCCUUUUAUUCAACCGAGUCCGAUGGAAAGAAAUGGAAGCUGAUAAUUAUUUGAAGGCCCACCUAUGGGUAAAAAAUAGGCUGGUGGGCUUAUGUAGGCCCACCAUCCUAAACUCGUCUUUAUUUAUUUUCUAUUCCAUAUGUGUAUGUAAAUUGUAAAAACAUGUAAAAUAUUGGAACCCUUGUGUAUGCUUAGAAUUUAGGAAACACUUAGUAUA